rnacentral:tRNA from 1 species
UUCUCGGUGGCUCAGAUGGAUAGAGCGUCUGCCAUGUAAGCAGGAGACCCGGGUUCGAGUCCCGGUCGGGGCA